GACAGAUCUAGCCUUCUUAGACUGCUAUAAAUAUUCACUUUCUGAAGUAUCUUCCAAAACUGAAACUGUUCGGGUCAAGAUAUCAGGUUCGGACACUCAGUUUUCUGGCAAUAUUUCCAGCAAUCUUUUCAUGGCUAUCCAUUAACAGCUCUGGGUAUUUUUAGUUCCAUGGAGAGAGCAGUUCUUCACAUGUUUUCUUCUGUGAUUCAGAUCUCUGAAGGACUUCAGAGCUAAAAGAAGAGCAGACAGAGACAAGCAGUGGUGGAAGUCCUCCCUCUUACUAGUGCAAAUCCUCCUUCUCAGUGGAGAAGAAAAGCAGGCUGUCAUGGCACCAGGAACUAUGAAGUCCCCCAUGUGUCUGGUCGAAAAUAAGAACAAGCAGCUGCUGGUGAAUCCAGAAGCCAUCCAUAUUCUUAACAAUAUUUCUCAGCCUGUGGUUGUGGUGGCCACUGUAGGGAUGUACCGCACAGGAAAAUCCUACCUGAUGAACUGCCUGGCUGGUCAGAACCAAGGCUUCCCUCUGGGAUGCACAGUUCAGUCUGAAACCAAGGGCAUCUGGAUGUGGUGUGUGCCUCACCCAACAAAGCCAAGUCACACCCUGAUCCUUCUAGACACUGAGGGUCUUGGGGAUGUAGAAAAGGGUGACCCUAGGAAUGAUGACUGGAUCUUCGCCCUGGCUGUGCUUCUGAGCAGCACUUUUGUCUAUAACAGCAUGAGUACCAUCAACCACCAGGCCCUGGAGAAGCUGCAUUAUGUGACAAAACUCACAGAGCUCAUCAGAGCAAAGUCUUCCCCAAGGUCUGAUGGGCUAGAAGAUGCUAGAGAGUUUGUGGGCUUUUUUUCCAGAUUUUAUCUGGACUGUACGGGACUUCACUCUGGAGCUGAAGUUGGAUGGUCACUGCAUCACGGAAGAUCAGUACCUGGAGAAUGCCUUGAAGCUGGUUUCAGGGCAGGAUCCCCAAACCCUGGUAUCCAACCGGCCAAGGGAAUGCAUCAGACAAUUCUUUCCUAGGAGGAAGUGUUUUGUCUUUGUUUGGCCAGUGAGUGACCCACAACUCUUAUCCAAGAUUGAGAGCAUACCAAAAAGUCAAAUGAACCCUAAAUUCCAGGAACAAUUGAAGAACUUUUGUUCUUAUAUCUUCACCCAUGCAACUGGCAAGAGACUUGGAGAGGGGAUCCUGGUCACUGGGAGUCGACUGGGGAAUCUAGUGCAGACCUACGUGGAUGCAAUCAACACUGGGACAGUACCUUGCUUGGAGAAUGCAGUAAAAACAUUGGCGGAGCAUGAGAACUCCACAGCUGUGCAGAAGGCAGCUGAUCACUACAGUGAGCAGAUGGCCCAGCGAGUGAGGCUCCCCACAGACACGCUCCAGGAGCUGCUGGAUGUGCACUCAGCCUGUGAGAAGGAAGCCAUCGCUGUCUUCAUGGAGCACUCCUUCAAGGAUGACCAGUGGAAGUUCCAGAAGAAGCUUACUGUCAUCGUAGAGGAAAGGAAGGGAGCUUUCAUGGAACAGAAUGAAUCAGCAUCUCUCAGUCAAUGCCAAGCUGAACUGGACAAGCUCUCAGCAUCCCUGAGGGAAAGCAUCACACAUGGAGCUUUCUAUGUUCCUGGAGGCCACAGUCUCUACUUAGAGGCCAUCAAGAAGGUUGAGCAGGACUAUGAGCAAGUGCCCUGUAAGGGAGUGAAGGCAAGUGAGGUCUUCCAGAACUUCCUGAAGUCACAGAUCACUGUGGAGGAGUCCAUCUUGCAGUCAGACAAAGCUCUCAGUGAUGGACAGAGAGCUAUGGCAGUUGAACUGGCCAAGAAUGAGGCAGCUGAGAAGGAGCUGGAGUUAAAGAGGCAGCAACAGAAGAAGCAAGAGCAAGAGACUGAGACUCAAAUGAGAAGCUUCUCAGAAAUCAUGACCCAGCUGCAGAAGAAGAUGGAGAUGGAAAGGGAGAACAUUCUGAGAGAUAAGGAGAGGGUUCUGGACCACAAGCUGAAGGCCCUAAGAGAUCUACUUCUUGAAGGAAUUGAGGAGAAAUAUGAAGAUUUAAGAAGAGAAAUAAAGCUGAGAGAUGAAGAGAUUAAAGCCAUGAAACAAAGUUCAAUUCAGAAGAUCCUUGACGUUGCUCGUGAUAUACUAAUUGAAAUACUUCCUUUGUUGAGUGAUGUGGGGAUGAAGAUUCUUAGCUCAUAUAUAGCAAAAUGAGCCACAUAGUAAAGUACAGUAAGAAGGCUUCAUAUGCAGUAGCAAUGCUGUUAUAUGCAACUUUGUACUGUAUCUGUCCUCAUGGAUUCACUCAACUGCAGUUUUAAAUUGGAGAUUCAUCAAUGAAUGUCAGAGACCAUUGUGCUCUUGCACAAAAAAUAGAAAAACAACUAAAGUUUUAAUAAAUAAAAAGAAAUUACUCAUGAAAAUGAUUUCACUGAGGCACAGAGGCAAAUCGUGCACCCAUAAAUUCCCAUCAGAAUUAUUGUCUAUACAUGAGCUGAACCAAUACAACAAGAAAUAAGGCAAAGUAGACAGAAAAUGCCCAUGAGACCUCUACCUUACAAAAAGAACUACAGGUAGCUAUGGAACCCUGAGACCAGAAGAAAUAAUAUUCCCCAGGGAAGGGCACACCGUUGGCUAUUACGUACCAAAUGAAAGCAUAUAUGCAAGUAACACUGUAUAGGCAGAUCAUCUUAUAUUUAGGAAAGUACAUGUAUAUAGAUAAAAUAUGUGUGUGCAAUAGCAAUUAAGAAAAAAGAAUCCAUGAAUUUGAAAGGGAGCAUAGAGAAGUAUAUUGGGAGUGUUUAGAGGUAGGGAAAAGAGGGGAGAAAUGUAAUUAUAUUAUAAUCUCAGAAAUUUUUAACAAUGUUAAGAGAAGUAAAUGUUUGCAAUGCCUAUUUCAAUUCUGUGUUACUUAUCACAAGCUUUUUUUGAGAUGAGAUUACCAACCAUAUUUUUAAUAGGCAUAAAUGUGAGAAAGUAUGUUUUGAUUAAAUAAAAUCCUGCAAAAUAUAACCAACAGGCUGAUAUUUUAUUUGCAUAUCGGCAUAUCAUGAGUUGGGUCUGGCUUGUUGGAGUUGACAGCCUCCUGUUUGGUGGUAAGGAGGGAUGCGUUUCGAUUAUAUAUCUAAACUUAACUUGCAUGUAGCUCUAACCUGGAGAAUCCAUACCAGGAAUUUUGCACAUAUGUCGUUUACCCCAGUGAACUAACACUUGUAUUGAUAGAUGUGUCAUAGGAUUAUUAACUUGUCAAAAUUCUGGAAUAACUUUAAUGUUCCUCUCUUAGAUGUUGGUGGUGAACAGGAAUGGAAACUCUACAUCCACCCAAACUUUUUACUAAUGUGAGAAAGUGUUCAAAAUUUACUGUAGCUGAAAAAUGACACACAGUUUGUAACUGCUGCUCUGACAUAAGAGAGUAAUGAGGAUUUGAAUAUAUUACUAUCAAUGUCCAGUAAAAUACAAAAUAAUCUGGUAUUCAUGACGACCACAGGAGUGGAUACAGCUAGCUGAGGUAGGCUAGAGGAGGGCUACUAACAUUGAGUUAACUCUUCUUUCAUUUUUACAUUUCUCAUGAACUUAUUAUUCACUCAAAUAUUUUAAAAAUGACAAACAUUGGUAAUGCAGAUGCAUGGAACAAGAACAUCAAUGAUGGGAUGGAAGUCAUGGCAGGAUGACUAGAAAAGAGCUCAGGUCAGCCUCCAGGAGACGGAAGGGAUGACUGUGCCUCUUGGUUUAACCUCUUUCUGACCUCUCAUUGAGGACUUUAAAUUUUAAUUCCUUGCUUUACAGUAUAUGACACCCAGUGAUAUUGAAUGCAAUGAUCUUGAAAUCCACACCACAGCCAAUGAAUAGUGUGUGUGUAUGUGUGUGUAUCUUUAUAUUUA